UACGUAGGUGGCAAGCGUUGUCCGGAUUUAUUGGGUUUAAAGGGUGCGUAGGCGGUUCCUUAAGUCAGUGGUGAAAUACUUCAGCUCAACUGGAGAGGUGCCAUUGAUACUGGGGAACUUGAGUACUGAUGAGGUAGGCGGAAUGGACGGUGUAGCGGUGAAAUGCUUAGAUAUCGUCAAGAACACCGAUAGUGUAGACAGCUUACUAGGCUAUAACUGACGCUGAGGCACGAAAAGUGUGGGGAUCAAACAGG
rnacentral:rRNA from 1 species